GAUAAACGCUGGCGGCGUGCUUAACACAUGCAAGUCGAACGGAGUAUUUCUCCCGAGACCGAGGAAGCUUGCUUCCGAAGAAUCAUUUGAAAUACUUAGUGGCGGACGGGUGAGUAACGCGUGGGUAACCUGCCUCACACUGGGGGAUAGCAGUUGGAAACGGCUGAUAAUACCGCAUAAGCGCACAAUACCGCAUGGUAUGGUGUGAAAACUCCGGUGGUACAGGAUGGACCCGCGUCCAAUUAGCUAGUUGGUGAGGUAACGGCCCACCAAGGCGACGAUUGGUAGCCGAUCUGAGAGGAUGACCGGCCACAUUGGGACUGAGACACGGCCCAAACUCC
rnacentral:rRNA from 1 species